rnacentral:lncRNA from 1 species
GACGUGUGCUCUUCCGUGGCCUCGUGGUUGAGUGCCCGCUUCGGCUGCGGGAGGUCGUGGGUUCGAAUCCACGUUACCGCCGGGUACCCACCGGUUUGUCAAAAUGGGUACAGGCGUCCCCCGGCACGGCACUCAGCUAUUUUCAGGGGUGAACCGCCUGGGAAGGAAGUCUACGCCAUUCAAAUCCCGUUGAAACAUGUGGGCACAAAACGAACCCUGAAUGAAAAAGGGGACAGCGGUGUAAAGACCCGCUCAAAAAAUGCACAGCGGUGUAAAGACCCGCUCAAAGAAUGCACUGCGGUGUAAAUGCCGCGAAGCAAAAACCUCACUGCGGUGUUCAGACCCGCUAUGAGUUUGAGCUUCACGUUGCGUGGUUCCCGCUCACAGAUCGCGUAACUGGCUCUCAUCGCUACAUGGUCGAUGUGCGUGACGGGUGGUACAUCGGGGG